rnacentral:rRNA from 1 species
GAGCUGUGGUGGAUGAGUAAUGUUCUCCGCUAGAAAGGAGAGGGCAAGGCUGGUGCCAGCCGCCGCGGUAAAACCAGCUCUUCAAGUGGUCGGGAUAAUUAUUGGGCUUAAAGUGUCCGUAGCCGGUAUGGUAAGUUCCUGGUAAAAUUGGGCAGCUUAACUGUCCUUGUGCUAGGGAUACUGCUCUACUAGAGGGCGGGAGAGGUCUGAGGUACUACAGGGGUAGGGGUGAAAUCUUAUAAUCCUUGUAGGACCACCAGUGGCGAAAGCGUCAGACUGGAACGCGCCUGACGGUGAGGGACGAAAGCCAGGGGAGCGAACCAGAUUAGAUACCCGGGUAGUCCUGGCCGUAAACGAUGCACACUAGAUGAUGGUGCGGCCAUGAGCCGUAUCAGUGUCGUAGGGAAACCGUUAAGUGUGCCGCCUGGGAAGUACGGUCGCAAGGCUUAAACUUAAAGGAAUUGGCGGGGGAGCACCACAAGGGGUGAAGCCUGCGGUUCAAUUGGACUCAACGCCGGGCAACUUACCAGGGGAGACAGCAGAAUGAAGGUCAGGUUGACGACCUUACCUAACAAGCUGAGAGGAGGUGCAUGGCCGUCGCCAGUUCGUGCUGUGAGGUAUCCUGUUAAGUCAGGCAACGAACGAGACCCGUGCCUUUAUUUGCCAUCAAGAAGUCACGACUUCGUUGGGAACGAUAAAGGGACUGCCGUCGAUAAGACGGAGGAAGGAGCGGGCAAAGGCAGGUCAGUAUGCCCCGAAACCCCUGGGCUACACGCGGGCUGCAAUGGUGCGAACAAUGGGCUGUGACUCCGACAGGAGAAACCUAUCCCGAAAUCGCAUCUCAGUUGGGAUUGUCAACUGUAACCCGUUGACAUGAACGUGGAAUCC